rnacentral:piRNA from 1 species
UCUGAAGGAAAAGCGAGGCACCAAGUCCC